ensembl:lncRNA
CAAGCUCCACCUUCAGGCAGAAACAGGAAACUAUUUCUCUGCACAGCUUCAGUAAAGAUCAGACAUUAUGUUGGAUAUUUGUACCAAACUAAGAACUAAAUAAGAAGAAGACAGUGAAACAUCGUCAUUCUGCUGUUUGUUCUGUUUCCUGUUCUGUCUGAAGUCUGACAUCAUGUGACUUCCUGGGAACAGACCUGAAGCUUCGUCACUGGAGUUUAAUGACUUCCAGCACUGUUCACUUUUUCCUCCCGUCUCUUUCUGCUUCACAGAUUCUUUUGUAAAACAGUUUUCACUGAACGACAUCAACUUGUGUUUACUGGUUUGGGGGUUUUUUUAUUGGAUAUUUACACCAAACUACCAGUGAGAUCUGAGAAAGAAGAAGACGGUAAAAUGUCUGCUGGAACAUCUGAGUUAUUCUGUCUGAUCUGUUUCCUGGUCUGUUCCUGUACAGGUGAGUUAUAAUGUUCAUUUAUUAUAAUAUUCAUUAAUUCUACCUCUGAUGGACUGGACAGGCUCUUAUUUUGUAGGAAUCAAUAACUAGAUAUAUUCAUGUUUGUUUUAAGGAUGUAAUAACUUCUACUGACUCAGAGUUUUCUAUGAUUCAAAGUGAGGCAGGGAGACAUGAUGUUUACUUUAGUGAGGACACAGUUGAUAAUAUAAAGUGGAUUCUGUCUGUUCACAUAAUGCUGUGGAGGGUUUGGUUCCAUGAUGUGUUCCAGCACUACUUUAUGCUGACAGAGGAGGUUGGAAGUAAUCAAGACAAGUUGGGACACCUGUAGGAUUCAGUAGCACCAACUUUCAAGGCUUGAUCAACCUCCACUGCUGCACAGCAGUUUUAAGGUGUUAACCCAUUUCUCAUUCCCUGAAAAAGGCCUUUUUGUAUCAUUCUGAAAUCUCAGAAAAUCAUCACAGCUGAAAAAAUCACAGUUGAUGUCGGACAGAAUGUCACUCUACCAUGUAAAGUUCCCAACAACCAAAGACCCAUUGGGGUUGUAGAGUGGAACAGAUCUGAUCAGGAAACAGGAAACAGGAAAUGUUUUUUCCUCCUGGUAUGGAUGGAUUGAACCAGAGAACCAGCAUCCAUCUUAUCAGGACCGGACAGAUCUGCAGGACAAAGAGAUGAAGGAUGGAGACGUUUCUCUGAUUCUGAAGGAUGUGAUGAUGGAGGACAAUGGAACAUACGAGUGUUAUGUUUAUCAGACGGGAAAGACGAUUGAACUCAUCUGCAACAUCAAACUGGAAGUUCAUCCACCAGGAGACAAGGUUGGAAUCAUUGUAGGAGCAGCAGUGGGUGUGAUAGUUCUUCUUCUUGCUGUGGCUUCUCUUGGUUUUCUGAUCUAUAGACGACACAUGAGGCAGAAUCCAAACCUCCCAGUUCCUCCUGAUGAACCAACAGCUAAACAGAUGUUAUGAAACAAAGACAUGAAAGUUUUUCUGGACAAUGUGUUCCAAAGCUCUGCAUGUUAGAACCUGAUGAAAUGUUGUGGAUGUAAAGUGUUCUGUCAGAUGAGAUCAGAACCACAUAGAAAAGUUCUGAUUGUCCAGAAUGAAGCACAACUGAUGAACAGAACUUUAGACUGAACUUGUUUUAAUGUUUUAUCUGAUGAUGUUCUCAACUGUUUACAGGGUAAAGGUGCAGAUAAUAUUAUGUAUUUUAGAUAUAUUUUAUACUACUCAGUGUUCUGUGAGUUUCAUCUUCAUCCUAUAUUAUGUUUUGUUGUUAAUCUACAGAUAAAUGUAGUCCAGUAGAAUAAUAUUGUUUCCUACUGAACUGUAGUGAAGGUUGAAUAGAAUAAACAGAAUUUAAACUGAUAGAAUGAACUGUUACUUCACAGAAAUGACUGUUUAUAUUAUGACAGACUGUUAAUAAUGAACUUUACAGUAAAUAAUGAACUUUACAGUAAAUAAUAAACUUUACUGCUGCUUUUUCACUUCGUCUUUGAUGCUAAACUGUUUGUCUUAGUUCUUGUCCUCUGUUCAAUGACAAUAAAGUUGAAUCUAAUCAGG